CGAAAAGAAAAACCUGUAGCCAAUGCAUCUAAUUUUACUACUGAAGAAUGGAAAAAAAUAAAUGAUGACUUGACGAAUAAAGCUGUAAAAACAGAGAAAAAGAAGAAAAAUAUACCAAGAGACUACAAAGAAUGGGAUAAGUUUGAUGUUGAAAAAGAAUGUUCCAAAAUUGAGGACCAGGAAGAUGAUUACUCUAAAACCAGCAUUAACAAUAACAUAAAAUUACCAAAAGCAGAAAUAGACACAACAGGUA
rnacentral:lncRNA from 1 species